CUACUGUCCCCAGCCCACCCUCGCCCCCUCCCACUUCCCCUGCCUCUUCCUCCUCACCGGGUUUCCCACACUGCCUUUGGCAGGCCCCCACUCAGGGCCCUCGGCCUGGCCCUCCCCCUGUUCCCCCACCUCACCAAACCAAGUUGCCAUCUCUCACCAAUGGGCACCCUCCUCACUUGGUGGCCCAAAAGGCUUGCAGCCUCCACAGGUCCCCUGGGGUCCCCUGCUCCAACUGCCCGGCCAGUCCCCCUUCUCCUUCCCUCCACCCUGUCCAGCUGGCCUCCCUCUCUGCUCUUCACUUUUCCUUUGCCCCACAACCCCCUUCAGGACCUUCACUGGCCUGCAGACACCUGGGCAGACAGCUCACCUGCCUAUCCUCUCCUCCUUCCCAGUCACCUCCUCCCACCAUCUCCCCUCUGUUGGGCCAUCCUGCAAACUUUCCCCUGGGCCAGGAGUCCCUGCCAAUGGGAACCCAGACCUCUCAAUGCUUCAGGAGUCAGGCACCUGCUGGGCACAGGGAACAAGACAUGGUGGGCAGCAGCUACAGGACCCAGGGCAGCCAAGGAUACUCCCGCUUCCCACCUGUGACACAAGCAAGACACAGCCAGACUGGCCCGAAAUGGGGGAACCCACAUUUAAACUCUUCUGUCUGCCAAGCUGGGCCAGACAGCUCCAGAUUGGACCACCGAAAAUCAGCAGCUCGUCCCCUUCUUCCCCUCCGAAAGGUACCAACAUCUCAGACAGGACUGACCAAGGACAGAGCUGUGCAAUGCCCACCCAAGGAAGGAAACCAAUGACCCAGUUCCUUGGGGCCACGGGACAGCAGUCCUUUCCCUAAAGCUCCCCAGCCCUCUACCCGGGGCAAAGUGCUACCUGGGGCAGCGUUUAGGCAGCUCUUCAGAAAGGCCAGGCCCUCCUACUGACCCUGGAAGCUGUUGACUGAGACCUGGAGGAGAUGCAGCUGGAGCCAGGUUCCCAUGAACACACGGUGAAACUCGGAGGCUUUAUUUCUUCCCACCCAGAAGGGCGUCCUUCAAUUUCCCGAGGGAAAUGAACAGAUGCAAGAUCAUGGGGACCUCAUGGAGAGCUUCUGACUGCCCCAGGGCCUCUGAGGGAGGGGGCUGGUGCGAGGGCCUAGAGCCCCUCGGAGCCCUGCCCUCGGCCUGCUGCUUGGGGUCCCCGAGAGAUUCGUAUUUUCCAGAGCUGGUAGAAUUAAGACGACCGGCAAUCUCCACUGACCUUCUCCUCACUCCAGUGUCCCAGCACCAGUCAACCUCCCCUCGUCUGUCCUUCAACUGAGAUGCCAUCAGGAAGCAGCAAAUAUUUCUUACAGCGAUAGAAAAUAUGUUAAACCCAUUUCACAGAAACACAGGCCAAAAUGCAGGGAGGGCUGGCUCAACCAGUUUUGGGUCAUCUGGUUACAGAAAGAUAACUUGAUUGUCCUUCCUAUUUAUCUUAUAAUAAAUAAAA